CCGGCCGCGCUCCCAGUCCGCCCGAAGCCCAUGCCCGGCGGCUGGCCCGUGCUGCGGCUGGAGGGGGGGCCCGGCUCUGCAUGGCCCCGGCUGCUGACAUGACUUCUUUGCCACUCGGUGUCAAAGUGGAGGACUCCGCCUUCGGCAAGCCGGCGGGGGGAGGCGGGGGCCAGGCCCCCAGCGCCACCGCGGCCACGGCGGCCGCCAUGGGCGCAGACGAGGAGGGGGCCAAGCCCAAAGUGUCCCCUUCACUCCUGCCCUUCAGCGUGGAGGCGCUCAUGGCCGACCACAGGAAGCCCGGGGCCAAGGAGAGCGCCCUGGUGGCCUCCGAGGGCGCACAGGCGGCGGGCGGCUCUGCGCCGCCCCUGGGCGCCCGGCCGGGGUCGCUGGGAGCCCCUGACGCGCCGUCUUCGCCGCGGCCGCUGGGCCAUUUCUCGGUGGGAGGACUUCUCAAGCUGCCAGAAGAUGCGCUGGUCAAAGCCGAGAGCCCCGAGAAGCCCGAGAGGACCCCGUGGAUGCAGAGCCCCCGCUUCUCCCCGCCCCCGGCCAGGCGGCUGAGCCCCCCGGCCUGCACCCUGCGCAAGCACAAGACCAACCGCAAGCCGAGGACGCCCUUCACCACCGCUCAGCUGCUGGCGCUGGAGCGCAAGUUCCGCCAGAAGCAGUACCUGUCCAUCGCCGAGCGCGCCGAGUUCUCCAGCUCGCUCAGCCUCACCGAGACGCAGGUGAAGAUCUGGUUCCAGAACCGCCGCGCCAAGGCCAAGAGACUGCAGGAGGCAGAGCUGGAAAAGCUGAAGAUGGCCGCCAAGCCCAUGCUGCCGCCGGCUGCCUUUGGCCUCUCCUUCCCGCUCGGCGGCCCCGCGGCGGUAGCGGCCGCGGCGGGCGCCUCGCUCUACGGGGCCUCUGGCCCCUUCCAGCGCGCCGCGCUGCCGGUGGCGCCCGUGGGACUCUACACAGCCCAUGUGGGCUACAGCAUGUACCACCUGACAUAGAGGGUCCCAGGGUCGCCUCCCUGUGGUACCAGCUGAUUCCUCCAGCCCCGGUCUCCUGCGAGCGGCAGAUGGAGAAACUUAGAGAGGUGUAGACUUCCCAGCGGUCCCCAGCAGAGUUAGUGGUCGGACCGGCACUAGGCGGCUGCGUCCUGUCCUGACAACCAGGCAGGAGACGCACAGAGAAACUCCCGUGUGAAGAUUUUGGAAAAUAAGAACAGUUGGAGAAAAAGAGAAGAGCAUGCCAGGGGAGAUGGAAACCCCCGUCCUUCCAUCGGAAAACUUCAGAGAACUUCAACUGCACAACGUCUGCUUUCGGUGGGGGGAAGGGGGGUGACACAGAUGCGUUGCCAAGGUAGGUUGAAGGGACCUCUCUCACCAGUACCAGAAAAAACUGUAAAAUAAAAUUUAAAACUCCUGUUUCUAUUUAACAGUACAUUUGUGUGACUCUCAAGAAUCCCUUUGGAAGGGAUUGUGUGUAAUAUACUGUAUAUUUGAAAUUUUAUUAUCAUUUAUAUUAUAGCUAUAUUUGUUAAAUAAAUUAAUUUUA